GUGCGUGGGUGAAGCUCACAGUGGGCCCAGCCUGGCGGCUGCAGCUCGCCCCCUAUGAUCACCUGGUCGCACGCUGGCGGACACACACACACACUCUUGGCUGCUGCCUGCGCGCAGGCUGGCCUGCUCUGCCCGAAGGGACACCAUUCAAUACUGGGGCCUGAGGCCUUGGCUCGGGCCAGUCCCAGGCGACAGAGAACAGGGGCCUGAGGCCCUCACAAGACCAGGGACGCAGUUACUCUGAGAGAUCCUGCUUCUGAUCGCCUCUAGGACGAGAAGCUGCCCUGUAACUGCUGAACACCUCAUAACCCACCACGGACCUGGAUCAGACAUCUCCCCUGACGUCUCAAAAGUGGAUAUCAGCUUGUCUAUCCUUUCAGUAUGCCGAAGGGCUCUCUACUCUGCCUGACCAAUGUGGAGCCCACCAUGAGCAGCCCAUUUCAGAUACAGUUUUUGUCUUAGUCCAGAAAGCAUUAUUAAGAAGUGAACGUCUAACAUGGCUUUAGCAGACAAGAGACUUGAGAACUUACAGAUCUACAGAGUUCUUCAGUGUGUUCGCAACAAAGACAAGAAGCAGAUAGAGAAGCUGACCAGACUUGGAUACCCUGAGCUAAUCAACUUCACUGAACCUGUUGAUGGACUUAGUGCUCUCCACUUAGCCUCAGUUUCCAAUGACAUUGACAUGGUUAGCUUUCUCCUUGGACUUGGCGCUCACCCUGAUGUGCAAGACCACAUGGGCUGCACGCCGACAAUGAGAGCUGCGGAGCUGGGCCAUGAGCUAUCAAUGGAAAUCUUAGCCAAAGCCAAAGCAGAUAUGACAAUAGUUGAUAAUGAAGGAAAAGGUGUUUUGUUUUACUGCAUUUUACCCACAAAGCGGCAUUAUCGCUGUGCACUGAUUGCCUUGGAUCAUGGUGCAGAUGUCAACAACGUCACCUACGAAGGAAAGCCAGUAUUCCUCAGAGCUUGUGAAGAAGCACAUGAUGUGAAGGAUAUAUGCCUGACAUUUUUGGAGAAAGGAGCCAAUCCUAAUGCUAUCAACUCAUCCACAGGGCGUACGGCUUUGAUGGAAGCAUCAAGAGAAGGGGUGGUGGACAUAGUUCGAGGCAUAUUGGAAAGAGGAGGUGAAGUGAAUACAUUUGACAAUGAUAGACACCAUGCUGCUCAUUUUGCUGCCAAAGGAGGCUUUUUUGAUAUAUUGAAGCUUCUCUUUGCCUACAAUGGAGACAUGGGGUUGAUUGGAAUGAAUGGGAACACACCACUUCAUUAUGCUGCUAUGGGUGGCUUUGCGGAUUGCUGUAAAUAUAUAGCUCAGCGAGGAUGUGACCUGAAAUGGAAAAAUUUGGAACAUAAAACACCCCGAGCUGUGGCGAAAGACGGAGGCUUCAAAGCCGCAGGCAAGGAAAUACGUCGAGCAGAGCGGACUGCGGCUAAACUCGCUAAGCCUGGAGCUAAAAAUCCUAACCCACUCUGGGCCCUCAGGCUGCACGACUGGUCCGUGGAGCAUGAGGCUUUCCUUCGGGAAUCCUUUGCCUUCGUGGACAGGGGCGAUGGUGUAGUCAGCAAAGACGACUUCGUGGUGACCCUGGAGGAGAGGCAAGAGUUUGCCACCUCUGAGCAGCUGUUUACCGUUGCUCAAAUGCAUGAAAAAAGCCGGGACAGCGGGGUCAACAUUAACGAGUUCUUUAAGGGAACCAAAUACUUAGGCAAGUCUUACGUCUUGGGAUCUUUCGGGCCUAAGAAAAAGAGAAAGGGUUUGGGCAAAAAGCCAAAGAAAGGCAAGUUUGUUCUACCUCUCCCGAUAUGCACCAUCCCGGAGAUCGCCUUUCCGCGACGGCCAGACGGGGGCCCGCCCUACUACAUGAUCGAGACCUACCAGAAUGUCACCGACUGCAGCAGGUUUAACCGGGACCACCCCCCUGAACACCCCAUCCAGGACGAUUCGGAGUGGUACAUUGAUGAUCCGGGGAGGGCCUUCACAAAUAUUAAUUUUAUCACCAAGGCAGGAGAUCUUGCCUCUCUGAAAAAGGCCUUCGAGGCAGGAAUACCUGUGGAUAUGAAGGAUACUUCUUACAAGACCCCACUCAUGACAGCGUGUGCCAGUGGCAACAUGGAUGUGGUCAAGUUUCUUCUUGAAAAGGGGGCGAAUGUUAAUGCAACAGAUAAUUUUCUGUGGACUCCACUUCAUUUCGCAUGCCAUGCUGGCCAGCAAGACAUUGUUGAACUUCUUGUUAAAUCUGGGGCUGUAAUAGAUGCAAUGUCAAUCAACAACUCCACUCCUUUAAGUAGAGCCAUUGAGAGCUGUAGACUGGACACAGUAAAAUACCUACUUGAUAUUGGCGCCAAAUUCCAGCUUGAAAAUAGAAAAGGACAUGCUGCCAUGGAUGUUGCAAAGGCAUAUGCUGAUUAUAGAAUAAUUGAUAUGAUAAAAGAAAAGACAGAUAACCUGCCUAAACCAUUAGAUAAUCAAAAAAUGAAAGGCAAGCUUCCUAAACUGAAGACUGAAGGCAUGGACAUUAAGAAAGAAGAGGAAACACUAUCAUCAAUUUAUGCUAUACCAACAAUAACAGAGGAAAAGAAAGUACACAAGGAAAAUGUGGUUUACCUCAAUUCACUGAUUACCAGUGGUUACACUAAGAAGAUUGAUAUCACAUUUGUCCCACAUAGGAUUUGGAGCCCUGAAGCCACAACGGCAGAGCUGAUCAGGAAGAGGGAACUGCGAAGGGAGAGGUUCACAUACGAGGUGGACUUUGAAGACUUCAUGAUGCCUUUCCAAAAGAACAUCACGGAGAAAGCUCAAGCAUUGGAGGCAUCCCUCAAGCUCUAAGUCAUAGCAGUUGCCUCCUGGGGUUCAUGCUUUGUGGCCCAGAGUCCAAAGUUUGGAGAAAGUAAGACUUUGAAGAGGAACUGAUACCCAAAGCUGAUUUCCCUAGAUUAUAGUGACUAACCCAAUUAUUUGAAAUACUCCUCUGUUUCCCUAAAACUGAGGUGGUAUUAUGAUCUUUGUUCCCGAGGCUUCAGUAUCAUGCUCCUGCCUAAGAAAUGGGAAGUGAAAAAUACAACUUUUCUCAUAGGCAUUAAUGAAAUCAACAUAUCAAAUAAAACGAGCAAUGCAUAAAGUAUUCUGGAUAAGCCAAAGCAAUACUGCAUAGCUAAAGAAACAACCAGCCAGAAGGGGUAUUUAUCAGCAACCGGACACCACAGGAGAAGGCAGGCAGACCAUACAUCCCUAGAUAAUACACCGGGUGGGUGGGGACCUCUAUAUCCCUUACACAUGCAUCCCUACUACAGAUCUAAACCUUCCAUGCUGUUAAAGGCUAGUGUUGCCAUAAUGUAGCGUCAACCAGCAACCCUAACUCUGCACACAUUUGACUUCAUUCAUCCACUCAGCAUAUGCUUAUUUAGUGCUGGUAAUGGAGUCCCUAAGCGUGCUCCUUGCUCUGUCCUGCAGUCAGUACAUCACAAGGAGUAACCGAUCCAGGUUGUACUUCCCAGGUUUCUGCAUCAUCUGGUUGCCAGAUGGAUCCAGGGAGUAGAGAUCCUGUGUGAGGCAGAACGUAGAGGGAGGUGUGGAGAAACCAGGAUAGUUCUCUUUCCCUCUUUGUCUUCAGUAGCAUCCCAGGCAGUAGCUGUGUCAUCCCAGGCAGUAGCUGUGUCAUCCCAAUCAGUAGCUGUGUCUAUCUCUGUCUCACUUCUCUGCUUCCAUGUAACAGUCCUGCCACCCUUCUACCAGAUGGUCCAUCCCCUGGGCCCCAUUAGCACCAUCCACUUUCCCUGUCCUAGCUCCUAGGGAUAGUACCAGUGACCUCUGUUCUUAGAAUCUGGGCUACUUGGCAAUACAGGUUGCUUCACUAACCUCUUCUGCAUAACCACACCCUUACACCCACUCUCCCUUCAGAACCACCCAGAGGUUUCCCUUUCCUUCAUGGGAUACUGAUUUACUAAGUUUCAAACACUGGUGUGUCAGGAGGCAAUGGAAUGCAAAAGCAGUCUUGGCCACUGCCCCAAUAAUUGGUUUCUAGGCUUUUCUCUUCUGCUACUGGUACAUAACAAGUUCAAGUCUUCUUCAAAAACAGUUUCUCUGCUACUCAUUGGGACUGGUUCUUCCUUACUCCAACUGAUCUUCUAGUUGAGUUUCAUCUCCACUCCAACCUGAUAUAAAAAAGAAAUGCCCAAUUAUUCUGAAGGCAUGGAAGGAUUGCAAACAAGGAAACAGUCGUUCUAAAUAUCCUUUGCAAAAGCCUUUGUGGGUCAGUUUUGAUUGUGUGAUGACAAAACUGGGAGAGUAAAGACACUCUAUGCCUGCAGCACAUGUCAGGGGGUAAAUGUGUCCUGCAGAAUUAAAAUGCAUUCCUAAGUGUGUCAUGUGUCUUGUCAUCAAACAUGAGAACAGCACUUGACUCACAUGUUGUUCUCUAACACAGACCCGAAGAAUCACAAUAAUAGGAAUUGAUUGGCAACACAUUUUUCCCAGCGUUCCAUAAAGCUUUUGACUUUCCUUCAUUUGAAAUGUAUGAUUAGGAAUACACACAAACCAGCAAUAGGUGAUGAUACUAUUUAAGCUGUCGGGGUAACAAAUUUCUGGCAAAUGGAAAUAAAUAAUGGAAGGCUUAAAAAAUGAGGGAAGAGGGGAGAUAGGGAGGGAAAGAAUGAGACAAGGAACUUAUUGAUUGGUUCAGUUGCAGUAAUUGGGUUAGUGGUUUUCUAUUUCAUCCUUCAACUUAAAAACAUCAUCUAGGUUGGACCAAAAUGUACUUAAAUCCUUUAUACUUUAUUCUAAAAUCAAUAGUUCAGAAGCCCUAUUCUUUUUUAGGCUUUUGGUUUAAAAAUUACUGGAAUAGAGAGGGGAGAAAGAUGUUUUUAUUCUUGUCCAAGCACUCUGGCUGAUUCUGGUUUCCCCCUGUUCAGUCUCUCACCCCUACCACUGGAGUUGUUGAACAUUUUUAAAUGGAGAGAAAUGGAAAUUAAAAUUUCAGAAGUGUAUGUAGAAUCUUCACCUAAAGAAGAAAAAGUCAUUCAUUCACUCAUUUAUGCCUUGUGAUAAAUUCCAAGGACUUACUGUCAGCAUCCUAGAGUUGGUCCAGGAUGGUGGUGGCUCUUGCCACCACAAUAAAAAGAGUCACUACAUAAUAGACUUGUUAUUAUAAAUUGGGAUGAAUAUGACAAGAGAAAAAGCAUCAUGUGAAGCUUUAAGCAGACAGCCAAGGAAGAUAUCCCCGAGGAAAUAUGAAAGCUGAGAGGUGCAGAGUAGUAGAGGCAGCACGACUGCACAGCAGGAGCAAAUACAUGAAGGGGCAGCCCCUUGCAAAAGCUCGGAGAUGGUAAAGUUUGCUGUAGAGCAGGAGGAAGUCCAGCAGACCUACAGAGAUGGUGGCAAGAGAAGAGCAACAAGGCUAAGGCUGAUACUAGAUGUCAAACUGUGUGGACCUUUCAGAGAAGAACAUGGAUGUCUUUCUACAUUUGAAGUAACAGCAUAAAGAAUUAAAGCUGACAAAUGACACUUGAUUAAAAUCUGUAUCUCAUUGAUCUGAGGAAAAGGACGAGAUGAAGAAAUGAACUGAAGCCUCUGAGGAGGGUAUUGUAUUCUCUGUAGGAUGUUAGCUGCUUGUGCUUGCCAGCCUCCAAAUUAGCCCUAAUAUUUCCCUGCUAUUUCUCACACCCCAGCGUAGCACCUUUACUCCUUCAUUGAUCAGGGUUGACCUGGGCAGCCAAUAAGAUCACUCAAAGAUGAUGGUCCAAAAAUAAACCAUGAAAGAUAAUUGCAAUGAUGGUUCACCAAAGCCCACUGUCGUGUUGUGAGAAGACUGACACCACUCUGUUGGAUGAUUCCUUUUUGUAAGAAUUAAGGCUUCCACAGCAGCCAGCACAAACACUCUAUCAAGAAGAUGAACCAUACUGGAAGAUCUAGCCACUCAUCAGGCUUCAGAUGACCACUGCCCUGAUAACAUUUUUAAUGUAUUUUCAUGAGAGAUCCCUGGCAAGAACUAUUUAGUCAAACUACUCCCAAAUCUCUGACCCAUGGGUACUGUGAGAGAUACACAACAUUUACUAUUUAUGGCACUAAUGUCUAGGGCAGUGUGAUGCAGCAGGAGAUGACUAUUUAAUUGUGGAGGCCCAGAGAAGAGAAUGGAUUUGAAGGAUAGCAUAGAGGCCUACUACAUGAGACACAAUGAGGGUCUUGUUUUGUGGGUGUGAUGAAGCAGCACUGAGAACACCUGUAGGCUUCUGGUUUAUGCAGCUGCACACAUUGCAUCAUACAGGGAGUAGGAUGAAGACAUCUCAAAGGAGUGCAUCAGGCAGUCCCAUAUGCCAUAUGCUCAAUUAAAGAACCAAGUGAUAAACAAGCUCAAAAAAAUGUGGUGAGUGACAUACAUUUGAUAGCUUUUGGAUUGCUGGUGAUAUUUAGAAUCAUAAUAAAUUACAGCAAUAAGACCAAGAUAAUGAUUAUGGCUCAUAAGCUGAAAGCUGAAGUUUUCCAUAAUGUAUAAAUUAAACAAGAUGCUGGUACAUGAGAACAAUAAGGGAAAUUAUUGGAAGGGAUGGAAGAAAAGAUGUAGUUAGUAAUAAAUGACCCUCAGGAGGAGGUCAUUCUUUCCCAUAUGCUACAUAGGUAUGCAUGUUUCACUCAUAAAUUAUAGACAAAGAUGUCAUAUUUCAAAAUUCCAAGGGAUUGCUGUUCAGCAGGUGUUUUAUAUUAAGAGGGGCUUCUGGUAUAUAUAAUAUACUGAUCAAAGACCAGUAAACUAAAAGGAAUGUAAAUGGAGUCACUAUAUAAUGGAGAAAAUGCCUCAACUAGAUAUCGUAUGCCACCAAGUAAAACCUCCUGUGCCAGAUAGAGCUUACAUUUCAUUGAGUCAUUGACCACAAGGGUCCCAUGGAAUUUUCCAAACAUCACAGUCUACUGCCAAGAGUAUUGGUUGUUAUCCACAACCCAAUGGGAAGGCCCAAUUGCUGAAAACAAUUAUAUGUCAUCAGUACAGAGAAGUUGACCUAGAAAUUUCACCCCUACUAACUAACUUUCAUGGUGCUGGAAAAUUCUCUGUACAUUUCCACAGAAAAAAGUAACCAUCAAGACCACCCAGCCACAAACCCUGGGAUCUACAACAGUGAACUUUCUGCUACAUAUACUGGUGCAAUAGCGGUACAAAUGUUAUGGGUGUAACCAAUAUACUUUUUCUGAAAUUGGAUUUAAGGCACAUUCCACAAGACACCCAACACUGCCAAAGUGGCUAAGAACCUGAGACUAGAUAGAUAAUGGACCAAAAGAAAAACUUAUUCUUCUAAAAGAACAUAGCAAUAAAAUGGCUCUUGAUGACAUAUUGCUAUACCCAUAGACCAGUGCCAUCACUCAACUCUCAUUAGAGAAGCUUCUUGAAGUAGAUGGUAAUAAACACAGAGACCUACAACUAGACAAAACCUCUAUGACUAAUUUUGGCCAGCUAGUAGCUCUCUCUGCCCUCUGAUUCGAAGCAAACUUUAUUGUCAGUCUCAGGAGCAUCAGAAUAUGAUCAAAAUAUUAUACAACAGUCUUACCCCUAACCAAGAAGCUAUUUGCAACCGAUACCUGGGGGAAAAGGGAAAAUCCAUUUUCUCCAGUGGCAUGCCACUGGAUGUAUCAAUCAUACUCUAGGACAGUUCACAUGCCUAGGAGUAGUUAGACAAUACUAAACAAAACCCAUGGGGUUUUUUGUUUGUUUGUUUGUUUGUUUGUUUGUUUGUUUGUUUUUGUGUGUGUGUGUUGGGGAGGAUAUGUUUCACUCUGGUUUGUUUUUCUUUUUUCUGGUUUUUGGUUUUCCUGGGGUUGUUUUUGUUGUUGUUGUUGUUGUUUUUGUGUGAGAGGAAAAAAACAUUAAGUUAGGGAGAUGGAGAGGAUCUGGGAGGCAUUAGGAGAAGGGAAAAUAUUAUUAAAAUGUAUGAAAAAAAUAAUAAAAAAUAAUAGUUACUAAUAAUUUUUAAAAGUAAGAUAGAAAAAUCACACUUCUCCAAGGUGGCAAAAAUUUCAGCCAGUUUCAGCCCCCUUUUCUCAACAAUUGGGACUAUGUUAUAAUGUUGCCUUGAGGAAUCAGAAUGCUGUGCAGUUUCAUUAAGGUUUCAGCCAAUGAAAGUUCCUCUUUCAAGUUCCCUUUCAGCACUCCCUAUGGUGAUAUUUUAUCACUUGCCCUUAGGUACCAAGAAUCUCCACCUAGGUAUUUCAGCACUGAGUAAGCAACAAAUUGGCAUCACAUAUACAGAGUAUACAGGAAGCGGUCGGCACCUUGGUGCCCAAUUGUAACUUGGAUCAUAAAAUAUUUCUCUAUACUGUUCUUACUCUGGGACCUGAUUCAGUGGAGCUGGAGUAGAAGGGACCAGCCAUAAACAUUUUUACAAAAUGUCCCACAUGAGUCUAACAGUAGCCUGGGUUAAGAGCUUCAGAACUUGAUCAAAUAUAAUGUUUAGAGUACCAAAGUUAUUAGGCAGUUCUGUUUAGUAAAUAAGGCAUAUGGAAAGGCUUUUAAUAGUGUCAUGGCCCUUCAGCUUUUGAGUACCAUAUGACAGACUAGCUCUAACUGGUGAAGGGGUCACUGGAAGUGACCCUUGCCAUGCCAAGGCUGGAGUGUUGAAUUGCCAGGGUCAGACUCUAAGCUUGCCUCCUCUCUGCUUCUGUCUACUGUGCUAGCCCAGGAGAUCUAAAGCUAGGUUCAGAGUUAGCAAUCAUGGACAUAGACUUGUCAACUAAAAGUAAACUUAGAAUGGUCAUAGCACACCUUCCAAAAACCUUUUCAAUAGCAUAUAAACAUGACUAAGUAUCUCAGCUCUUACCAAAUGUAGUUACUGAAAUCUUAACUAUCAAUAAAUACUGAAGAUGUACUUAAUGUUACCUUGUAAUAAUGAAUUCAAAACAUUUUGAUUUUCCAGAAGAUCGCAAGAAAUAAUAUUAUAAAAUAAUACUGGUUUCUUCCUUUUUCUCAUUGUCAGUUUUUUUCAAACAUUUUACCUAUAACUAUAGAUCUGUAUAAAUUAUGACCAAACAUAUUUUUGCUGCUUCACAAAAAAUAUUUUGCUGAAUAUGUAGGCUCUUCAUCUCUGCUGUAUUAUGUACCAAAGGAUAAUAGAUUUGGCAGCAAAAAUAGAUAGUUAUAUUCCAUUAAAAGCCAACUAUAUAAUUCAAAGCUGGCUUUAGGUUCUGUUCCCAGACCAACAGAACAUUUAGCUUCCAAUGGUCUGAAACAUGCUGUCCAAUUUUAUAAUUUCCAGAGUCACAUUUUAUUCCAUUUCAAAAGACAGACAUCAAUAUUUAUACUACUUUUAUAUGUUCUCUAAAUAAUAACAUGUUUUAACAGCAAGUGAGAUUUGAUUAAAUUUAUUAAUCUUG